UUACGGCCACAUCACGUUGAAACACCGCUUCCCGUACGAUCACCAAAGUUAAGCAACGUCCACCCUGGUCGGUACCAAUAUGGGUGACCGCUUGGGAAUACCAGGUGCUGCAAG
rnacentral:rRNA from 1 species